UACGUAGGGGGCAAGCGUUGUCCGGAUUUAUUGGGCGUAAAGAGCGUGUAGGCGGUUAUGCAGGUCCGCUGUGAAAACUGGAGGCUUAACCUCCAGACGUCGGUGGAAACCUCAUGACUAGAGUCCGGAAGAGGAGAGUGGAAUUCCGUGGUGUAGCGGUGAAAUGCGCAGAUAUCAGGAAGAACACCCGUGGCGAAGGCGAAUCCCUGGACAACACCUGACACUGAGGCACGAAAGCUAGGGGAGCAAACAGG
rnacentral:rRNA from 1 species